rnacentral:tRNA from 1 species
GCCCUGGUAGCUCAGUGGAUAGAGCAGCCGCCUUCUAAGCGGUUGGCCGCGAGUUCGAAUCUCGCCCGGGGCG